GCCUCUACAUGUAAGCUAUCACUGAAGGAGGGGAUUGCGUUUGAUUAGCUAGUUGGAGGGGUAACGGCCCACCAAGGCGAUGAUCAGUAGCCGGUCUGAGAGGAUGAACGGCCACAUUGGGACUGAGACACGGCCCAGACUCCUACGGGAGGCAGCAGUGGGGAAUCUUCCGCAAUGGACGAAAGUCUGACGGAGUAACGCCGCGUGAGUGAUGACGGCCUUCGGGUUGUAAAGCUCUGUUAAUCGGGACGAAAGGCCUUCUUGCGAAUAGUGAGAAGGAUUGACGUACCGGAAUAGAAGCCCCGCACCCC
rnacentral:rRNA from 1 species